AUGAGUGUGAUCUGCAUCCUCAUCUGGACUCUCCUCUGCUUCACUCAUGGGUCUGACGGACAAAAUGUUGUUUUGACUCAGCCUGCAGCCAAAUCAGUGCAGCUCGGUCAGACUGUCACUAUCGAUUGUAAGGCCAGUAGGCAAGUAGGUCAUUGGUCUGGUUCACAGUACUACCUUGCUUGGCAGCAAAAGAAAAAUGGAGAGGCACAUAAAGCUCUGGUAACCAGAACAACAACCAGAUAUUCAGGAAUCUCCUCCAGAUUCACUGGAAGUGGAGCAGGAAAUGGAAUAGACUUCAGUCUGACCAUCAGCGGAGUCCACACUGAAGAUGCAGGAGUUUAUUACUGUCAGAGUGCACACAACAUUAACAAUAAGUGGGUGUUCACACAUGGGGCUGGAACCACACUGGAUAUUGGAGGUAAUACCCGUCCCACCGUGACAGUGCUGCCCCCCUCCAGUGAGGAUCUGCAGCAGGGGAAGGCCACCCUCGUGUGUUUGGCCAACAAGGGCUUCCCCUCAGACUGGAGUCUGUCCUGGAAGCUGGAGGGCCACAUUAACACCUUCACCUGGGAGGAGGAAAAGAGCCAAGUAGUGCUGCAGAAGGACGGCCUCUACAGUUGGAGCAAAACCUUGAGGCUCCCUGCACACCAGUGGAGGAAGUUGGGCUCUGUGACCUGUGAGGCCACCCAGGGCUCCCAGACUGCAGUCACAGAGACACUGAGGAGAGACCAGUGUUCCCAGUACUGA